UUAAAUCCAAUAGUUUUCAAAGUCAAUCACAAGCUAAUUAAAUCUCAAUUCCAUAAAAUCCAUAUUUAUUCAUGAUUAUUUAUACAUUUAACAUUACAUCCCAUUACACCAUACAUAACAUUCCCCUUUAUAAUACAAUAGGAAAAGAAAAGAAGCUUUAAACUACUUGAUGGAGCUUGUAGCCACCGUUUCCAUGUUGCACCCAAGAGUUUCACCAAUGUUGGAACGACAUCACCUUGAUAACUAACAACAAACCAACUCUUAGCAAAUCAAAUAGAUUCAUGGCACAUGAAGCCUGCAAGAAAAACCAGUUCACAAUUUAACCAACUCUUAGCAAAUCAAAUAGAUUCAUGGCACAUGAAGCCUGCAAGAAAAACCAGUUCACAAUUAACCCAAACAUCCUAACCAAGCUUCAUAAAUCCAAACUCACAUUCUAACUUAAACCUGG
rnacentral:lncRNA from 1 species